rnacentral:rRNA from 1 species
UACGUAGGGGGCAAGCGUUGUCCGGAUUUAUUGGGCGUAAAGCGCGCGUAGGCGGCUUGGCAGGUCCGCUGUGAAAACUCGAGGCUCAACCUCGAGACGCCGGUGGAAACCAGCAGGCUAGAGUCCGGAAGAGGAGAGUGGAAUUCCUGGUGUAGCGGUGAAAUGCGCAGAUAUCAGGAGGAACACCGGUGGCGAAGGCGGAUCUCUGGGCCAGUACUGACGCUGAGGAGCGAAAGCGUGGGGAGCGAACAGG